UACGUAGGUGGCAAGCGUUGUCCGGAGUUACUGGGCGUAAAGGGCGUGUAGGCGGUGGAGUCAGUUUGCCAUGACAGUGCUCGGCUUAACUGAGCAAGGCUGGGCAAAGACGGCGCCACUUGAGGGCCAGAGAGGGACAUAGAAUUCCGGGUGGAGUGGUGAAAUGCGUAGAUAUCCGGAGGAAUACCAAAGGCGAAGGCAGUGUCCUGGCUGGCAACUGACGCUGAGGCGCGAAAGCUAGGGGAGCGAACAGG
rnacentral:rRNA from 1 species